AAUCAACGCUGGCGGCGUGCCUCAGACAUGCAAGUCGAACGAUUAAAGCUCUCUUCGGAGAGUGCAUAGAGUGGCGCACAGGUGAGUAACACGUAAGUAAUCUACCUUCGAGUGGGGAGUAACGUCCGGAACGGACGCUAAUACCGCAUAAUGCAGCGGCAUCAUAAGAUGACAGUUGUUAAAGAUUUAUUCGCUUGAAGAGGAGCUUGCGGCAGAUUAGCUAGUUGGUAAGGUAAUGGCUUACCAAGGCUACGAUCUGUAACCGGUCUAAGAGGACGGUCGGUCACACUGACACUGAAUAACGGGUCAGACUCCUACGGGAGGCAGCAGUCGGGAA
rnacentral:rRNA from 1 species